ensembl:lncRNA
AGAAAAACAAAACCCGGCGCGUCGCCUGGGCAAUGGGUAAACCUCAGGAACUCUUAGGCUGAGGUGCUUGAAAUCUCUUAGGUUGAGGUGCUUGAAAGCGCUUACGCGUCGAAAAGGAACUAUCUGCCAACCUAGUGAAGUGUCGACGGAAUCUUGAAGUGAUGAGGUGAUGCCUCCCUUUACUCAUGUGAAACUGCAGCUUGGGGAUGAAGGUAGUUAAAGCGCAGAAGACGAAUCCAAGUUUCAUAAUUCCCAGGCUGAAUCUCUAACGCAUGGGGUAUCUCUUCACGGCUGCUCCAGCAAAGUGCAGCCACUGCUCCUUACCUUGGACCAGGGGUAUCUCCUCACCGCCGCCCUUCCUGACCUUCAAUGUGGGAUAGCUUCUCUAGGCCCUCUUGCGCCUGUGCAGCCACCGCUCCUUGGAAGUGCGGUUGGUCCUCCCGGCCGCCGCCCCUGGCCUCGGGUGUGGGGAUGUGC